AUGAACCCCGCCCCUCCACCUUUUUCCUUCCCUGUGUUGCCCUCUUUCCUGGGGGCCGGGGUGGGGGUGAUUGCUGGGCCUCUUUCUCUUUUCUGCUGCCAUCCAAGUAUGCCGCCCUGCUUCCUCCUGUCCUCCUGGCGCUUGCUGGGGUUUUGCCUCUCCGUGAUGGGACUGGAUCCCAGAAGCACUGGACUGAGCGCGCCCAAACCGAAGGGAGCUGGCCAGGCCCGCUGCGGCAGCCCCCUUCUGAGGGGAUUCAGUGGUGGGCGUCAGAGCCGGGUUAUCUCAGCUGAGGCAGACCCCGGCAGGCUGCGGGCUUCUGGGCUCCCGGCAGCCCCAGCAAGGUGGAUCUCUCUCCUGAAGGGCCAAGUAGUUCCCUUCCUUUUGGGGGUCUGCGGUCAGGGCCUGGCAGGGUGGAGGGCGGUCCUUCCAACCCUGGUUUCCGUGCCUGCGGGCCUGAGCCUCAGCUCUGGCCCCCCUUUCCAGCACAGGGGCCCGGGGGCCCGAGACCUGAAGCCGGGACGCCGUCGCCCCUCCUUCCCUUUCCUCCCGCUUGGCGCCAUCGCCGAGGAAGAGUUUUUCUCAGGGGAUGUGAUGGCUAUCGAGAGCCCUGGCUUGGAAGCGUUGGCGCGGCGGCCUGCCCGGGAUGGACGUGCCCAGUGGCCAGCACUUUGUUCACGCGCGCCAAAGGUCUCCUCGCCCGCGGUUCUACUUGGUCAGGGUCCUUGGAAAGGCUGCCCUUUUCUUGCCUGCAAAGGGAGGCCAAAAGAAGCCCCUCCCCCAGCCUGCUCCUGCUCAGCAGGCAGCAGAGGGACCUCCCACUGGACUUCUCUUUCCCUUGAUGAGCCCUUGGGCCCUUCUCUUCUGGCUGGGCCCGCUGAGGUCCGCCCCUCCGGGAGGGUGAAGGGCAGCCUUGGCUCUCCCUUCCCGCCCCCCAGGCCACAGAGGCACUCUGGGCCCCUCCCGCAGCCUUCCCCUCCUCUGCCCAUUCUGCCUUUGGCAGUGUGUCGGAGCGGGCAGGGACUUCCCGGGCUGUGUGCGAGGCCACCUUCAAGCGGGAUUCGUAGGAAGUGCAAAGACCACCAAGGUGACACACGCACACACGCGCGCACACACACGCACACAUGUGUGCACACACGCGCACGCGCACACACACACGCACGCACACACACACGGCCGCCCCUUAGAGUGGGAAGGGACCUCAGAAGACAUCUUGCCCAAACCCUUCAUUUUACAGAUGGGGAAACUAAGGUUCAGGGAUGCCAAAUGAUUUGCCCAAGCUCGGCAGUCUGA
rnacentral:lncRNA from 1 species